CUUAACACAUGCAAGUCGAGGGGUAACAUUGUAGCUUGCUACAGAUGACGACCGGCGAACGGGUGCGUAACGCGUAUAGAAUCUGCCUUGUACAUGAGGAUAGCCUUUAGAAAUGAAGAUUAAUACUCCAUAAUGCUAAUAUGUGGCAUCACAAAUUAGUUAAAGAUUUAUCGGUACAAGAUGACUAUGCGUCCUAUUAGCUAGAUGGUAAGGUAACGGCUUACCAUGGCAACGAUAGGUAGGGGGUCUGAGAGGAUUAUCCCCCACACUGGUACUGAGACACGGACCAGACUCCUACGGGAGGCAGCAGUGAGGAAUAUUGGUCAAUGGAGGCAACUCUGAACCAGCCAUGCCGCGUGCAGGAUGACUGCCCUAUGGGUUGUAAACUGCUUUUAUACAGGAAGAAACCGAUGUACGUGUACAUCCUUGACGGUACUGUAAGAAUAAGGACCGGCUAACUCCGUGCCAGCAGCCGCGGUAAUACGGAGGGUCCAAGCGUUAUCCGGAAUCAUUGGGUUUAAAGGGUCCGCAGGCGGUCAAUUAAGUCAGAGGUGAAAUCCCAUAGCUUAACUAUGGAACUGCCUUUGAUACUGGUUGACUUGAGUUAUACGGAAGUAGAUAGAAUAAGUAGUGUAGCGGUGAAAUGCAUAGAUAUUACUUAGAAUACCGAUUGCGAAGGCAGUCUACUACGUAUAUACUGACGCUCAUGGACGAAAGCNUGGGGAGCGAACAGGAUUAGAUACCCUGGUAGUCCACGCCGUAAACGAUGGAUACUAGUUG
rnacentral:rRNA from 1 species